rnacentral:rRNA from 1 species
UACGUAGGGUGCAAGCGUUAAUCGGAAUUACUGGGCGUAAAGCGUGCGUAGACGGUAGCGUAAGUCAGAUGUGAAAGCCCCGGGCUCAACCUGGGAACUGCAUUUGAGACUGCUCUGCUCGGGUGCGGAAGAGGGAAGCGGAAUUUCCGGUGUAGCGGUGAAAUGCGUAGAUAUCGGAAGGAACACCAGUGGCGAAAGCGGCUUCCUGGUCCGACACCGACGUUCAGGCACGAAAGCGUGGGGAGCAAACAGG